rnacentral:rRNA from 1 species
AACGCGAAGAACCUUACCUGGGCUCGAAAUGCUAUGGACCAGCUGGUGAAAGCCGGCCUUCCCGCAAGGGGCUGCUAUAUAGGUGCUGCAUGGCUGUCGUCAGCUCGUGUCGUGAGAUGUUGGGUUAAGUCCCGCAACGAGCGCAACCCUUGUUACCAGUUGCUACCAUUUAGUUGAGCACUCUGGUGAGACCGCCUCGGAUAACGGGGAGGAAGGCGGGGAUGACGUCAAGUCCUCAUGGCCUUUAUGUCCAGGGCUACACACGUGCUACAAUAGGCCGGUACAAACCGUUGCAAACCCGCGAGGGGGAGCUAAUCGGAAAAAGCCGGCCUCAGUUCGGAUUAGAGUCUGCAACUCGACUCUAUGAAGCUGGAAUCGCUAGUAAUCGCGGAUCAGAACGCCGCGGUGAAUACGUUCCCGGGCCUUGUACACACCGACUGUAC